GGGCUGUGCUCAGAGUUGCCUGCCUCGGCAAAUCGUGCUGUUAAGACACUGAUGCCCUUUGCAACCACGUACCUAUGUGAAAGUGGAUUCUCGGCCCUCACUAGCAUGAAAACUAAAUACAGGCACAGACUGUGUGUGGAAAAUUAUAUGACUGCGACUCUCUCCAAUAAAACCCAACAUUACAGAGUUAUGUGCAUCCUUUCAAACACACCCUUCUCAUUAACCUGUGGUGAGUUAUUCACAAUUUUUGAUGAACAAAUAAGGUUUUAUAUGUAAGAUGGCUAAAUAAAAAGCAAAAUUAUUUAUUAUUAUUAUAGUAUUAUUUGUGCCCUGGUCCUAUAAGAGCUCUUAGUCACUUCCCACGAGCCAGGUUGUGACAAAAACUCAAACUAAUUCUUAUGUUUAAUAAAUGUAUUGUAUAGUGUGUGUGUGGCAGGCUUACAAUGAUGGCAAAAAACAUUUGAGAGUGCUAGAGGGGGUACGCAGCUGGAGGUUGAAUGUUUGAAUGGCUACGGGACUAUAAAACGUUUGGGAACCACUGAUCUACAUGAAUGCAGCUGUCACUUCAUUAAAGCCGUUAGAUGCAGUUCACCAUAGUGCGCUUUGUUCUAUCAGGGGUGAGAGGUUUUGCACUCAUCACUGCUUGCUCUAUCAGAAAGUAGGAUGGUCCUCUUUGACCUCAUGUAUGUCGAAACACUGCAUUUUAUUCAUUUUUAAAGCCCUUUUGCAAAAACUCCCACAUUACCUGACAUCUUUACUUACCCAUAUAUGUACGAGUUACCAUACCCAUCACAGGGAUAGAUAACUGGAAAUUCCCUGUUGCUACAGAAUUAGGAAAAACAGCUUUUAGUUUCUUCAGAGUUCCCUACAAAUGGAUGCAUGGGUGCCUUUCGGGCAGUUCAGAGUGCUGAUUGAGGACCUUUUUGCUGAGGAAUGUGAUUGUUUUUCAUGUGUGUUUUCUUUUCUUUUUUGUAAUCUCUGUAUUUUUAUUUUCUGGUGUAUUUUCUAUGUGUAAUUUGUUGUUUAAUUAUAAGAUGCAGGGCUCCCUUGCAGAAGACACCUUGGUCUCAAUGGGAAAAUUAAACAGCUGAAGAAAGUUAAACUGUAUUUUUCUCCCAUAUGACAUCACAAAGGUAGGUUACAUUAUAUGUACCUCAUAAUAAUGUCUGACUAGUUAAAAUCUCAUGUAAGGAGAUCAAAAGUUGCCGAACUAAGCUUGCCAUCUUUAUAUUUGGAUAGAACUCUGGCGUGGUAUAGCCUGCAUUUGACUACUGAUAUAUUGAGAGGGUGGUGGUACAUGGCUGCUCCAUGAAGGCCAAGUGAUGUCCAAUGCAGACAUUCAAGGGCAGAGACCAGUGGAGGCUUGACUUCAGUGCAGGACAGAAUUUGACUAGGAUGGUCCUCCCCUUCCUCCUCUGAGGAGCCUCCACUGACAGCGAUGCAGUGCCUUAGAACACUGCGCCACUCGGGAGGCCGUACUAUUGUUUUUUCAUUGAGAUUCAAAGACAUACAGUUUAUUAUAUUAUAUUUUUAGUUCAAAACAUUUAGCAUAUUUCAUAUAUUGAUACAGAUAUUCUCCCCAUUAUAUCAAGUCUCUAAGCAUUAUCACUGCUAAUUGUGGUAUUGGGUUCCUCAUACAGAACAAUGGGAUGAAAACAUUAGACACAAUAUAUUAAGGUAUGCAGUGGCCUGCGGACAGAAUACGUGUGUGCUGGCACUGUGUGAGGAUGGAAACCAGAUGUCUGUCUGACCUGAAUACCUUCACAGCACCACUAUAUGGUGCCAUUUUUUGUCAGCUUUUCCUCCUCUCCUUGGUGAUGCUGAUAUCAUCCACUGCGAAGACAAAUGUUUGCUCAGCCUGUUGCAAACAAAAUGUGUGUGAUGUCCAGAGCCUUAUCAUAGGAUGCUGCUUUGUGUUUCGUUUUACAUCCUUUUGCAGUACCCACAUGUGUCUUUCUUCAUUCCUUUCAAAGAAAAUGACAUUCUCAACAUUUACCAGUAAACAGCCAGAAUUUUGGUAUCUUUCAAAGAUUUUAUGUAAUCGAUCAUAAGACUAGCAGCCCUUUAGGUGUCUAAUUAUCUUAGGCCCUCUCUGGUCUUAUCACAUGUAAAAUAUAUGAAACAAUUCAAUAAGAUUAUUAAAAAAUAAAA
rnacentral:lncRNA from 1 species